UGAGGAAUAUUGGUCAAUGGGCGCAAGCCUGAACCAGCCAUCCCGCGUGCAGGAAGACGGCCCUAUGGGUUGUAAACUGCUUUUCCAGGGGGAGAAACUUGCGCACGUGUUGCGCAAUUGACGGUACCCUGGGAAUAAGCAUCGGCUAACUCCGUGCCAGCAGCCGCGGUAAUACGGAGGAUGCGAGCGUGAUCCGGAUUCAUUGGGUUUAAAGGGUGCGUAGGCGGCCUAUUAAGUCAGUGGUGAAAUCCUGCAGCUUAACUGCAGAACUGCCAUUGAUACUGAUAGCCUUGAUUUUGGUUAAGGUAGGCGGAAUGUGUAAUGUAGCGGUGAAAUGCUUAGAUAUUACACAGAACACCAAUUGCGUAGGCAGCUUACUGAGCCGACACUGACGCUGAGGCACGAAAGCGUGGGGAUCGAACA
rnacentral:rRNA from 1 species